rnacentral:lncRNA from 1 species
UUGGAGCCUCAAUAGGGUGUUGUUGUGAGGAUGGUGCCUAGACAAAUUUUUGAUGAUACCAAGGUUGAUGAUGAUGUUGGACCAUGCAUACAAAGUGUUUCUUUAGGAUAAAACUUAUCUGGUGUUGUCGAGAUCUCAGAUACAUUUGUUAUGAGCAAUAGUGAUGUCCAUAUUAUAAAUGCCAGUAGGUAAUGAGUUUAACAUCCUAGUAUAAAUGUUAGUGUUUAUUUAUUGAUGCUCUACUAAUAUUAUUAUUCAACAUGUUAUAUUUGUUAUUAUUCAUUAACGUUGCAGGUCAUGAUGGCACCGAAUGCCAUCUAGCUUUCACCCCUG